GUCUUCGUGGCUCAGUCGGUAGAGCGUUGGUCUCAUAUUACUAUCAGUAUGACUCCGCCGUAGGCAGAGACAUCCAAAGGUCGAGAGUUCGAGCCUCUCCGAGGACA
rfam:Colletotrichum gloeosporioides Nara gc5 unplaced genomic scaffold scaffold259, whole genome shotgun sequence.